AAUGCACCGUAGCAAAUAGAUUAGAUUCAAAAUAAGUCUUUAAAAGUUGCAAAUUCAUUUAGAUAUUUGUAUACUUGCGUUAAAGUGUGUGCAGUAUUGCAUUGUAGCUUGUGUUUUAAUUUAAUAUGUAAUUUGCUUUAUCAAUUUAUAUUUAAUUGUAGACAUUGGAAUUUUGAGCGUCGUGGUCACUAUUAAGAGAUGAUUUUUGAAGAGGAAUAUUAAUGAUUUUUCUUUUGCAGAUUGAUAUCCUCUUGUCGGGGUGAGUGGGGAGGGUGGUCGAAUAAUGGGAUUUGUUUACAUCCAGACCCGUGCCCGAGGAAAGGGGAGACGGGUGCGCGCAGUGCUGGGUGCGUGCAUGCGACUAUUUACAUAAGAAACUGAGGAACUUAAAGGAGAGGAAUGGAGGCCCUUUGUACGCGCAAUAAAUGUCUUCGGGCAGUUCGCCAGCCAUUAUUAGCUGGCGAUAAAGUUCAUUUGUCGGAAGCGCCUUCCAGAUAGUUGCCCUGUCUGGGGAGGAUAGUGGCGGUGUGGGGGAUUAAAUCAGUUUGACUCACCCUCUCUGGUUUCCCGUCAUGAUCCUGAUACAUUCGCGUCAGUGAACAUGACCGCAUCAGGACACGGGGAAGUGACACCAGUGACUGGAAUUUCCACUGAAGUCACCCAACUUUUCCCGGUUAUUAGAACUAAACAAACACAAGAGAUGCGCACUCUUCUGCUGUCCCUUCCCCAGCCCUUCGCAGUUAAAUCAAGGCGGGCAAAUUAAAUUCCGGGCAAAGAUGAGCUCAGCUUCGGGGAUUAGUUGUGGGUGACAACUGGACGCUGUAACCUGGUCUUAAUCUGAUUCAUCGGGGUCCAAUCACGUCGCAGUCACGUUGAUGGCAUUUUGUGAGGUACGGAGUAAAAACGAUUAUAAAAUUCAACGUUCCUUCUAAAAGUGCUCCUAAUAUCUCUGCCUUUAAGCUGGUGGAGGAAACAUUUUUUUAAAAAUGGCUCUGGGUGAAUGUACAGGCCCGUUGAUCUUUUAUUUGACGCGCGCGUUUACUUCCAGCGAGCUCAUUUAUGUUAUUGCAACAGUUUGGGGCCGGGUGCGCAGCAGGCGAGACUUGAGACAUUCAGCUGCGUUACAGCGGGAUUCUGCGUGUUCUGCGGCUACCAGCCCAAUUUUCAACUGCGUAGCUCAGUGUUUGGAGAGGGUGAGAGUGGCGGAUCCUUUUGAUGCAGGACCGCGUGCACCCAAGAGCGACAGCAAAAUAUUAUUUUGCCUCUCCUUAAAAUUGAUAGCUUCUUAAAUCACCUAAGGAUCAAUAAAUCCUUGCAAGAAACCUGAAUUCCAGAAUGGUUAGAAAGCCUACGAAGACUUUUCUGAGAACAGUUAUUUGCAUUUUUAUCUGCAGAUAGAAAUAUAAGAUGGAUUUCCCUGCUUGUAUAAUGUGGGGCAGCAGUGGAUUAAUUUUAUUUCUGACGAGUAUUUAAACGAGGACCAUUUCUUGCUUUGUUUUGGCCUCUGCUGGUACUGCUUACUUCAGCUCCUGCUGCGUCACAUCAUCCACAACCACCACCGACCAUGUUUUGUGUAUCAUUUCACUGCAGAAAUAGGCUAACCUUCUGCUUCUGGGAGUCAAGAGUGGGCGCAAUCUGCUGAGCUUGUGGACGAUCGACUGGCGGACUGCGCCUGAGCUUGAUGGUAAUGCAGGGGCACAGCCUUGAUAUUGGCUUCUUCGACCAUUGCUAAUUUGAGUUCCUGGAUCUUUCUGAGCCUGUUUUUUGCUAUGUGUGACUUGCAGGGCUAUGCUCUCAAGACAUGGCUAUCAGCUAGUAGUGCUUUCAGUCAAGUUUCGGAGGUUCGAUGGUUAGGGUGAGAGUGUUUGCUGACCGGAGUCAAGAUGUACCGUAAGCAGAAAGGCAGAGAAGAUGGUUACCUGAAGUGGCAGAGGAGCUGGGGUCACAACUUGGAGGGUUGUCAGUGCUGGAACGCAAUGAAGACAUUUGCAGAGGGAGGGUGUUUGUUCAUUAGUGUUGGACACCAGUAUGGCAGUGUGAGGUGGUGGGAUCUCUAGGUGAGCAGGUAAAGUUCCUUUCGAGUUCGGAAGCAGUAACGAUCUUGAUCAUAUCCAGUGGACCAUGAGGUCCGAGAUGUUGCUGUGGAAUGCAGCUGAAGUAGUUUACAAUUGGAACUGAUGGCUGCAAAUGGUUGUAUUAAGUACUUUACAAGGGAGAAGCUCAUUGCAAGUGAAAGGAACGAAAAUAUAGUGUAAUUGUUGUGAGCAGAUUAUUCCUGACUUUGGCUGUGGGGAUUUAGAGUUCAAGCUGAAUGGGAGGAAGGUGGGGAACUCUUGUGUUGGAGAAUGAGAGACUUUGAGCACUAUGGCAUUUGGUGAGACUACGAGGAGAAAGGGCUUUGUUUCUGGGGGCAGAUGGCGAUAGAUAGUUCUGGUUGAGGGAAAGGAGCCAAGGAGUGGGGUCUUUAAUUUUAGCAGGAAGCAUUGGGUGCAGUCAAGUGCAUUUUUUUUAAAGAUGGAUGUCUCUCUGAAUUUGAUCCCACUAGUAGAGAGUCCUGUUCUGUGAAAUACAUACAAGUGUAGUUGAAUGUUCACAAUUGUCCAUUUUGAAGCACUGUAAUCAUCUGCCUUAUCUCUAUGGGUAUGCUGAUGCGAUGCUGUCACAUAAUGCAGUUUCUUAUUAAUUGAUGGGGAAUGCCAUUACAAGGGUAAUGUCAUAACCGGAUGGUGCAUUCUAUUGAGGGGGCAGACUGUGCCAAAUUUAACAUCAGUUAGUUGGAAAGAUGUUUAUUUGGUCUGCUGAGAAAUAUAUUUGUGUUGCAAGUGGACCUUUUUUCAUCUGUUUUGGGCGUUGGAGAUAUGGCCGUGCUUCGCUGAGUGGCAAUAAAAGAUGGUAGUACAGGAAAUGCAGAUGCAGUUCUUCGUCAGGACUUAAUCUGCUGGCCAAGAUUAGCAAGGUUAAUUCUGCACUUGUGUCAGUGUUUCUUGAUGGCAUUGGUAGGCACCAAAAAUGAACAUUACCUUUACUAACCUUGUGGUUACCUGUAGUUUUAUAAACUAAAGGUUCAAAGGAUUGUUGGGAAACAGCCAAUGUUCUGAAUGCCUUUCCAAAGCCAUGAGUUCUGUCAAGUUUCUAAUUCCUUUUUCCCUGUGCAAACCAGCAGACUGAGGUUAGUUGAUAUGGUUGGUUUCUCUGUUUUUGAGUGCAUUUUGAGAUCAAGCUGGAGACGGCCCUCCCCUUCCUGAACUGCAAGACCUGCACUGAAUACGGCAACGAUGCAGCACAGUGCUCGUGCAAUGCAGGUUUGGUCCUGAUCCCCUGCCACUGACUCUGUGGAGUUUGCAUCUCCCUGUGACUGGGUUUUGUUGUGUCCCAUUUCCAAAAGAUGAGUUGGUAGACAUGAGAAAUCCUGCAGAUGCUGGAAAUCUAGAGAAAUGCACACAUAAUGCUGGAGGAAUUCAGCAGGUCAGGCAGCAUUGAUGCAGCAGAAUAAUCUAGAUGUUUCUGGCUGAGACCUUAAAAGGAAGGAGUCAAAAGCCCGAGUAAGAAGGUGGGGGGGGGGGGGAGGAGAAGGAAUAUACGUUGGCAAGUGAUAGGUGAGGGGGACGGUGGAGGGAGAGGGAUGAAGUAAGAAGCUGGGAGGGGAUAGGAGGAUGAGGUAAACGGCAGAAGGAGAGGGAUUCUGAAUGUAGAGAGACUGAACCAUAGGAGGAGGGGCAUCAGAGGGAGGUGAUGGGCUGGUGAGAAGAGAAGGGGUGAGAGGGGAAUUGGAAUGGGAAUGGACAAAAUUAGAAGGGGGAGAAAUUACCAGAAGUUAGAGAAAUCAAUGUUCAUGCUAUUGGGUUGGUCAUGAUAAAUACCAAAUGCUGGAGGAUCUCAGCAGGUCAGGCAGCAUCCAUGUAGGGGAAUAAACAGUUAACGUUCCAGGCCAAGCCCUCUGUCAGGACUGAAAAGGAAGGGGGAAGAAGCCAGAAUAGAAGGUGAGGAGAGAGGGAGGAUUAGAAGCUGGCAGGUGAUAAGUGAGGGGAAAGGUGGGUGGGUGGAGUUGGGCGGCUGUUUACAAUCUGCAAACUGGUGUGUUGGUGAGUGUGGGAACUGUGGGGUGGUGGGGUUGAUGGGACAAGCGGACAAUAGAAUGGGAUUAGCAUAUCUAAAUGCUUCACAGUCAGCAUGGAGUCUGCGUUGAAGUACCUGGUUCUGUGGUGACUGUUAACGUUGACAAUAUUAGAUUGGCUGGAUAAUUACAGAGUUAGAACCUUCAGGAGCAGGAAGGAGAUGGCAAAUGAUCAGCCGUUGACUUCUGAGUUUGGAGUUGGAGCAGUGAUGAGUAAUGUGGUGCAGUCAAUGAAGUCAAUAGGUAGCAACCCUUUGUAGAGCAGUGAUCUCACUGGUUAAUCUGUUUCUAAGUCCAGGCGUCGUGCUUCUUUGUAGGAAGUCUGUGUGGGGGGAAAUGAGUAAAUCUGUGCAAUUUCUCAAAUCUCUACUUAGUGUACCUAUUAACAUGUAUAUCUUGCUUCUCUUUCAGUGGUUAAUUCUCAAGAAAUCGGAAGAAGUGUUGGAAUAUUGCACAGGCUAUUCUUGAAUUGCUUAAUCAUUUUUAAUUCUGGCAAUGUGCCUUGCUUGGUGACUCUGCUGAUAAAUGUUUUGCUCCAUAAACAGUUCUGAAUCCAAGUAUGUGCCAUAUUGGAACCUUGCUUCACACUAAACAAAACAAGAACAGAAAAUGCUGCAAGUGGGGAGAAGAGUGGUGACCAUUUCAGGGUCGGUGCUCUCACCUCAGAACAGGAAUCAGAAAAGGGGGUGGGGUGGAGAGAAGAAGGAUCAGUAAUCAUUAUGAAACUGAUGCAAGUAGGGAAUUGUGAAAAGGUGCAUGGUAUGAUUGAAGGCUUUUGUAGAUAAGCCAACAAGAGGAGAGGCUGUACUUGAUCUGGUAUUGGGAAAUGAACCUGGUCAAGUGUCAGGUCUCUUAGUGGGAGAGCAUUUGGGAGAUAGUGAUCACAAUUCUAUCUCUCUUACCAUAGCAUUGGAGAGAAUUUAAUUGGAGUAAGGAGAAAUAUGAAGCUAUCAGGCAGAAACUUGGAAGCAUAAAUUGGAAACAGAUGUCAUCAGGGAAAUAUAUGGCAGAAAUAUGGCAGAUGUUCAGGGAAUAUUUGUGUGGUGUUCAGCGUAGGUACGUUCCAAUGAGACAGGGAAAGGAUGGUAGGGUACAGAAACCGUGGUGUACAAAGGCUGUUGAAAAUCUAGUCAAGAAGAAAAGCUUAUAAAGAGUUCAAACAAAUAGGCAAUGAUAGAGAUCUGGAAGAUUAUAAGGCUACAAGAAAGAAUUUAAGAAUGAAAUUAGGAGAGCCAGAGGGGGCCAUGAGAAGGCCUUGUGGACAGGAUUAAGAAAAGCUCCAAGGCAUUCCACAAGUAUGUGAAGUUCAAGAGGAUAAGAUGUGAUUGAAAAGGACCUAUCAAGUGAGACAGUGGAAAAGUGUGUGUGGAACCGGAGGAGAUAGCAGUGAUACUUAAUGAAUACUUUGCUUCAGUAUUCACUGUGGAAAAGGAUCUUGGUGAUUGUAAGGAUGACUUACAGUGAACUGAAAAGCUUGAGCAUGUAGACAUUAAGAAAGAGGGUGUGCUGGAGCUUUGGGAAAGCAUCAAGUUGGAUAAGUCUCUGGAACUGGAUGAGAUGUACCCAAGGCUACUGUGGGAGGUGAGGGAGGAGAUUGCUGAGCCUCUGGCAAUAAUCUUUGCAUCAUCAGUGGGGAUGAGAGGGGUUCUGGAGGAUUGGAAGGUUGCAGAUGAUGUUCCUUUAUUCAAGAAAGGGAGUAGAGAUGGCCCAGCAAAUUAUAGACCAGUGAGUCUUACUUCAGUGGUUGGUAAGUUGAUGGAGAAGAUCCUGAGAGACAUAAUAUGAUUAGUAAUAGUCAACAUGGCUUUGUCAAAGGGAGGUUGUGCCUUAUGAGCCUGAUUGAAUUUUUUGAGGAUGUGACUAUACACAUUGAUGAAGGUAGAGUGGUAGAUGUAGUGUAUAUGGACUUCAGCAAGGCAAUUGACAAGGUACCCCAUGCAAGGUUUAUUGAGAAAGUAAGGAGGCAUAGGAUCCAAGGGGACAUUGCUUUGUGGAUCCAGAAUUGGCCUGCUCACAGAAGUCAAACAGUGGUUGUAGAUGGGUCAUAUUCUGCAUGGAGGUCGGUGACUGGUGGUGUGCCUCGGGGAUCAGUUCUGGGAACGCUUUGUGAUAUUUAUAAAUGACCUGGCUGAGAAAGUGGAGGAUGGGUUGGUAAAUUUGCUGAUGACACAAAGGUUGGGGGUGUUGUGGACAGUGUGAAGGGCUGUCAGAGAUUACAGUGGAACAUUGAUAGAAUGCAAAACUGGGCUGAGAGCUGGCAGAUGGAGUUCAACCCAGAUAGGUGUGAGGUGGUUAAUUUUGAUAGGUCAAAUAUGAUGGCAGAAUAUAGUAUUAAUGGUAAGACUCUUGGCAGUGUGGAGGAUCAGAGGGAUCUUGGGGUCCAAGUUCAUAGGACACUCAAAGCUGCUGUGCAGGUUGACUCUGUGGUUAAGAAGGCAUUUGGUGCAUUGGCCUUCAUCAAUUUUGAGUUUAAGAGCCGAGAGAUAAUGUUACAGCUGUAUAAGAACCUGGUCAGACUCCACUUGGAGUACUGUGCUCAGUUCUAGUCACCUCAUUAUAGGAAGGAUGUGGAAACUAUAGAAAGGGUGCAGAGGAGAUUUACAAGGAUGUUGCCUGGAUUGGGGAGCAUGCCUUAUGAGAAUGGUUUGAAUGAACAAGGCCUUUUCUCCUUGGAGUAACAGAGGAUGAGUGGUGACCUGUAUAAGAUGAUGAGAGACAUUGAUCGUGUGGAUAGUCAGAGGCUUUUCCCCAGGGCUGAAAUGGCUAACAUAAGAGGGCACAGUUUUAAGGUGCUUGGGAGUAGGUGCAAAGGAGAUGUCAGGGGUAAGUUUUUUUACCCAGAGUGGUGAGUGCAUGGAAUGGGCUGCCAGCCAUGGUAGUGGAGGUGGAUACAAUGGGCUCUUUUAAGAGACUCCUGCAUAGGUACAAGGAGCUUUGAAAAUUAGAGGGUAACCCUUGGUAAUUUCUAAAUUAAGUACGUGGAUGGCCAUCAUUCAGAAUGGUCGUAUGGCAAAGGGAGGGUGGAGUUUUGCACAGGACUGUUGAGUUUUGGAUAUAAAUGGUUUGGCGGUGAGAUUGUAGCAACUGCAGUAUUUUAACUUUGUUCAAGGUAUUGAAGGAGGCCAUCCAGCCCAUUCAUCUUCUUACCACCUGUCUUCUCUGUACUAAUUAACAGUUGCCAUUUAACCUGUUCUUGGGACAUGCAAGGUGGCCGGUGGAAACUCACACAGUUACAGCAAGUGUGCAAGCUCCACACAGCACCAGUAGUUGGCAGUGAACCCAGUUCACCAGGUUGAGGCAGCUAUGGCCUUGUGUCCACUGUGGAUAGAACCAAUGGAAUGAGAAAGAGAAUAGUUAACUUGUUUUUGCACCGUCAUAACUAUGGCUCAGAAGUUAAAUGCAAGGAACCACAUCUGUAGCAGCUGGUGUUUAUAUUUUGAAGUGUAUGGUGAACCUCUCUGGCACUACGCACACAAAUCAGCCUCUGGAGCUGAAAUUUUCCGAUGUCUGUUUCCAGCUUAGCUUCUGAAAUCUACUGCAACCUCACUGAUCAAGGCAUGUAGUUGGCGAUUAAAUUCAACAAAGAAAUGAAAUGUUGCAUUUGGGCAGUUUAAAGUGAGAUCAUUGCGGCUUUCCUGUAAUCACCUUUAAUCAUUUGAUUCUUUCCAUUUGAGUGUUGGGGUUCAACCUUAGUUCUUUAUUCCAAUUUUCCUUGUUGAAAUCAACUACAUUCCUGCUGAAGCAGGGGCCAUCUUAGCUGUGUUCUGUCUUUAGGUUGGAUCCAAUAUAGCCAUCUCCUCGUUUCCGAUUCCAUGCGCACUAAUACGCAGUGCCGUUUGUCUCCACCGCAUGUCUAAUACUGAUCCUGGAAGCUGCCGGUGGUGUUUCCCUGUCAUUGGCCCGAUGUGCGACCAGGCCCAUCUCCCCCUGGUGUUAUUGUAUUUCAAUGAUACUUGUCCAGAGUUAACGGAGUUAAUUUUCUUUUGACAGCAUGGGUCUUCCUUUGCUUUGUCCUCUGUCUUUGAGGUGUGCAGGGAGAGUGGGGGAGAAGAGGCAGAUCCGAUUAUACUCGGAUCACAACCCUUUCUUCUGUUUGUUUAACUUGUAUAUUCUUAGAAACAUGGUUUGCUAUCACCAGAUCACUCUAUCAGCUUCCUCCACACAAUUCUCCACAGCGCUGAGUGUGCUUGGUCAAUGUACUAAGAGUGCAAAGUGAAAGGAUUUCCUCUUUUAUACACUGUAUUUGUAAUUAUAGCUCAGCAGUUCAUCAUCGUUUGCGGAAGAAGACGUCAACUUUGUGCUCUGCUUGCUUUGACUAUUAACUCUUUCCUGAGUAAACAAGAUAUUGUACAGGAGAGUACUGAAACUACUAUUAGAUUAUAAGACAUAGGGGCAGAAUUAGGCUAUUUGGCCCAUUCAGUAUUGGUUGAUCCAAUUUUCCUCUCAGUCACAUUCUCCUGCAUUCUCCCCGUAUCCCUUCAUGCCCUGACCAUUCAAGAAUCUAUCAGUCUCUGACUUAAGUAUGCAUAAAGACUUGGCCUGCACAGCUACCUCUGGCAAAGAAUUCUGGAGAUUCAUUGUCCUCUGGUUAAAGAACUUCCUACUCGUCUAUUCUAAAAUGAUGCCCUUCUGUCAGGGCUGUGCCCUUAGCUCCUAGACUUCCCCCACUAUAGGAAACAUCCUCUCCACAUCCACUCUAUCUGGACCUUGAUAGGUUUCAGUGAGAUCCAUUCCCCCCAUUCUUAUGAACUCCAGUGAGUAUAGGCCCAGAACCACCAAAAGCUGCUCAUAUUUUAACCCUUUCAUUCCCAAGGUCAUUCUUGUGAACCUCCUCUGAAACCUCUGCAAUGCCAGCUCAUCGUUUCUUAGAUAAGCAGCCCAAAACUGCUCACAGUGCUCCGUGCAGUCUGACCAGUGCCUGUUUUCAAACAUUAAAGUUUGUUAGAUUCAAACUUGAAAGCUAGAAGAAGGAAAAGAUCAGAGUGUCUUAAUUCUGUUUUCCCCAUUCAGGAUGAUAGAUACUCUUGUACCUCGUCCACACCUUUGCUUUGUUAAUGUACAAGUAUCUAUUGACUUCCAUCUGCCACUGGAGAGCUUUGGGUGGUGGCGAGGAGUUACUGUCUAUUGAAAGUUUCAAAUGAGGCCCUGACAGACACAGAGGAAAGAAUAACUUGAAGCUUUGAGAGGAAGUUGUUUACAAGUCAUGGAGAAGCUACUUCAAACUGACAUGCACUGGAUGAAAAGGAGGUUAUUUGAAAUGGAGAUUUUGAGCCAAAUGGUUGAUCAGCCAACAGAUAGAGGCAUAAAUGUUAAGAGCUUUAAUCUAACUUAGUCUUAUUUAAUGUCAACCUUCGGAAAUAUAUUUAAUAAGUUUGUUAAUUUAUUUGUGGUAAUAUUACUUUGUGUGUUGUUGUCUGUUUGUUAUAUGUACUGUGUUGUCCACCCUGGUCCAGAGGAACAUUGUUUCAUUUGGCAAUAUACAUGUGUAUAAGUUGAAUGACAAUAAACUUAAACUUGAUCUUGAACUUAAUGUUGCAUUGCAUUACCAGUGACUUGGGCACACUUACUUAAGUGUUUAUGACUUCCUUUUUUUGGAGAGCUAAGCACUGCUGAUGAGGCCAAUCGUGGUCCAUAUUUAAUUAUUCUCUGGGGAUGGUGGUGAGUAAUCGCUUCUGGUGAAGGUGCUCCCACAGUGGCACAUUGUGACCAGUAUAGAAAUCGGCCUUUGGUUGUGCCAUGGCUUAAUGUGAUCCUGUUGGAGCUGUCUGGGGUUGUAGCAUCUCUUUGAUACAGUUACGGUGUGCGUGGCAUGCAGAAUACUUCAUUGUGGCUGGCGUCAAGCCCAUUGAGUGUUGUGCCAUCAUCAGCAUCCAACACCACGCCAGACCCGAUGGAAGAAAAGUCACGUGAAGAAGCCAAAGAUAGUUAGACUUUGGUGUUGCCCUGAGGAGCCCCUGCGGUGAUAUCUUGGAGCUGGUAUGAUUCAUCUCAAAACACAGCUAUCUUUUUUGAGUGAGCUAAUACUCCGAUCAAGAGUAUUUCUCCCUUGAUGUGGAUGGCUUCACACGUUUGCUUGGGUUGUUUUUCACAGACCAGUGUCUUGAUGUGAAAAACAGUGACUCUCACUAUGGGUGUUCAGCUCCUGCUUCGUGAUGGGACUGAGGCUCUGAAUCUAAGUGGUCCUGCUGGGCAUUCCUGAGCAAGUUAUUAACGAGUUAGUAGUCAGAUUUGUCAACUCAUGGAAAUUAACCUCAGUACAAUGAUUGCUUGAAGCCAGCCAGUGGUGUAGUUGCAUCAGCACUGUACUUUGAGGCCAUUGGUCCCGGGUUCAAAUGAGGCCAGCACCUUGCAUGCUUUCCAUCUGUGCUGGGUUGAGCUCUGAGUUAGUAACUCGACCUUGUUAAAAACAGUCACAUGCCAUGGAAAAGGCAAAGCAAAAAUGCCACCCAAUGUGCCACAAGGUGCGAAAAUGAACAACAAUAACAACUGCUAUGAUUGCUAUGGGGUGGCCUGCAAGUUAUAAUCACAGCCUGAAAUCUGCUCAAGUUGCAGAGCAGAUGAGAGUGCACUGCAGACUGCUGUGAUGCAGGGUUCCAAUUCUCCAACAUCCAACUUCCUGUCCACAAUAUUGCACUCCCCCCUCCUCUCCCCUGUAUGAGCUUCUUGGAGCCCAGUUACAUAAAAACUGCUUCAUUAACAUCACCUUCAUUGCAGAGUCAAGAGUGUGCCAAUCUUGUUUGGAGGACAUAUUGCAAGUUAAUCUAUACAAGCUCAAACACAUAACUUGCCAUGUAGACCUGGAUAUUCUUCAGUUUUGGACACUUUAAACAAUUCUAUUCUUGAACGCACUUGUUGAACCUCUCUCUUUUUGUCCUAGUGUCAUCAUAACUUGGGGAAAUUCACCAGAUUUGUUUUCAGAGUGAAGGCAGGGUCAUUUGUCACAAAAUAAAGCUUUUAUCUAGAAAAAUCUAACUUUUGUCAAUCUCCAGAGAUUGUUGCAAGUUGACAUGUUUCGUUUUCAAUUUUCUUGUUUGGCACUAGUUGCCCAGCUGGUUUGCAAUGAUGGACCCAACAUGAUAUCUCCUAUACAGUCCAGUGCCCACUUUGUUAGGUACAUCUAGUUAAUGCAAAUAGCUAAUCAACUAGUCAUAGGUGUGUUGGUUGUUAACAGAAACAGAGUUGUACUAGGUGUGGCCUACUAGUGUUGCCGCACAUUCCAGCACCAGCAGAGCAUACCCGUAAUGUUCCACAGAACAGCACAAGCAGGAGAAACAAAAUAAGACACCAACGGCAAAACAAGUCUCUUUCCCACCCACUAUUUUGGCAUUGCCAUCUUCAGACAAAAGCUUACCAUUGCUAGCAAUCAAUCACAUGUAUUAAUGUAGAAAGGUUUAGUAACCACAUACUUUACAAGUUUAUUUUCUUUUUAACAGGAAUGAAUCACUCAAAUGCCUCAAAUUUGACGGCUAGAGUUUGGUGAUUAACAUUAGAUAGCUUUGAUAGUCAAAGUGGUUACCCAGUUACCUUAAAGCAGACAAUGACAGUAUUGCAGUUUUAUGGAAACAAGGGUACAUUUGUGAAGUGUGACCAAGCAAAGGUCUCCACUGCAUAGUGGCAAUUAAUUUAUUCCCCUUUAAGUUCUCAAACAAUUAUAGAAGAAUACAAUCAUAUAUCUUGUUACUAAACUUGUUGACUAUUUGAAGUUAAUUCUGUGGCUGGAAUUAAUCAUUUUUCAGAGGAAAAAAAAUUAAAUACAAAGCAGAUCUGUGGAAGAUACACACGUGCUGCAUUGAGAAAUUAUUGAACCAUUUCUUUGAGAAUGAUUGAACCUAUUUGAGUGGUCUCUGCGUGAGUGAUUUACUGCCCUUGUUGGGAGGUACAGGACUCUGUUAAUGGCGUUGAUAUAUGAAGAGUAUUAUUUGAGAGAGAGAAAGAAAAUUUAAGACUUCUAAAAGGAAAUCGAGGGUUUUCAAUCUUUCAGGAGCUGAACUAAAAUGUUAAGGUCCAUGAAUGAGAAAGGCAACGCAUGGUAUGAACGUAGAAUGGCUUGACAAGCAACUACAGAUAAAGUUCUUGAAUUCAGAUUGGUUUAAGAUCUAUUUUAAAAAUUCCAGGCACUGGUGGUAUUGGUGUAGUUAUGAGUUUUUUGAUUGUGGAAUGACCACAGCCAGUUGGAUUAAGCAGUACAAGGCUUGCAUGAUAAAUUUUGCUUAUUUGAAUAGAUAACUUCAGGAUACUCUUCCAGCAUUAUUAGUAUGUCCACUUACUUCAGGAAAUGAACAGCAUAGUGAAAAGUGCCAUCAGCUUUAAACUGUGAGUGGUCCCGGUCAGAAUUUGUCUGUGGAGUGGGUGAUUGCUUGGGUUAAUAAUAGCAAGGUUGAUUAGCAAGGGCCAAUAAGCUGGGUUUGAACAGAGUGGCCAUUGUGUGAAUGGACAGUGUGAAGAGUGGUCAUGCUUUAUCUCAGCAGGCUUGGGUGAGAACAGGUGCAGGCUACCACUUUAGUUUGAGAAGUUGGAGGCAGAACAAGUGUAGGCAGGGUAGUAGUUCAGGCAGUGGAAUACUCCUCCAGUGAGAUGUGGGAUUUCAGGGUAUCUAAUUGUCUCCAUGAUGACUACAACUGUAGGAAGUGCACCCAACCUCAGUUCCUGACUGACAAAGUCAAAAAGUUGGAGUUGGAUGUACACAGGACCAUCCAGGAGGCUGAAAACUUCCAUGGAUGAGUCUUUUACCCAGAGAUAGUAGAUGGGUGACCACCACAAGAAGUAAGGGGAGUAAGCAGUUAGUGUAGGGUUCCCCUGCAACCAUUCUCCUGAGUAACAAGGAUCCCUUAGGUCGGGGGUCAGCAACCCGCGGCUCCGGAAAACGGGUCCAAGUGGCUCUUUCAGUGGUAAAGGUUGCUGACCCCUGCCUUAGGUCAUGGCCCCCAGCAUCUUCAAUCAGGGUGCAGCAGCAGCCCAGCCAGGGGCACUGUGGCCAGCUUAAAGGCUCAGCAGGGAAGGGUAAAUCAGUCAGAACGGUAGUGACGGGAGACUCGAGAGGAGGACGAACAAGAGAUUCUGUGGCUGCAAAAGACAAGCUAAGGUGGUGUUCUGCCUCCCAGGUGCUAGGGUCUAGGGUGUCUCAGGGCACUGACCCCAAGAAUGCUUCCUCACUACUUUUUAAUAUCUAGUUUUGCAGUACUUAUUUAAUUGUUUAAUACAUACACUUUAAUUCAGCUUUCUCCUCUUCAAAGUUUAAAGUAAAAUUUAUAAUCAGUAUAUACAUGUCACCACAUACAACCCUGAGGUUCCUUUUCUGCAGGCAUACUUAGCAAAUCUAUAGAACAGUAACUGUAAACUGUGCAAAUGCAGAUAUAAAUAAAUAGCAAUAAAUAAUGAGCUUAAAAUAAUGUAACAGAGUCCUUAAAUGAAUGUAGUUAUUCCCCCUUUGUUCAAGAGCCUGACAGUUGAGGGAUAGUAACUGUUCCUGAACCUGGUGGUGUGAGUCCUGAGGCACCUGUACCUUCUACCCGAUGGCAGCAGUGAGAAAAGAGCCUGGCCUGGGUGGUGAGGAUCUUUGAUGAUGGACUCUGCUUUUCUAUGGCAACGUUUGAUGUUGAUGUGCUCAAUGGUUGGGAGGGUUACUCAUGAUGUGCUGGGCCAAAUCCACUACUUUUGUUGGACUUUCCACUCGAAGGCAUUGGUGUUCCCAUGGUGUUUUAUUAUUAUGUACUGCAUUGUACUGCUGCUGCAAAGUCAACAAAUUUAAUGAAAUAUGCUGUUGAUAAUAAACCUGAUUCUGAUUCUUUAAAUAAAAUUAAGCAGUUGGUUUGUACACUGCUUCAUAUUCAGACAUGCUAUUCUGAGUUGAUCUUUCAGAUAACUUUGUUACUAUUUUUAGUUUGUCAGUAUAAUGGAGUGUUUGAUCAUUUGAGAGAGAAGUUUGGGGAAAGAAUCAGGAAGGAUUCAUCGCAGUUGGGAGGCAUUGGAGGGUGCUGCAUCACAGCCUACACAUGUGAAAAUCUGUUCAGCUGCCGAGGGGAGAAUAUGAAAAUAACCCUAGUGGUGGAACGUGAAACACAAUACAACAAACCUGCUUUACCGCUUUACGUGACUGAAAUAAUUUCAUGUUCGAAUAUAGGAAGCAAGUUGUAAGGGGCGUGUUAAUGGAAUCUCGUUUGUUUAGUGGAAUUUUUAAUACAUGUUUGCAAAAUGGAUGUGGGUGUUUUUGGCAAGUCCAGCAAUUAUUGUCCAUAUUGUAUAUAUUAUUUAGCAAGCAGUGGGUGGUGAGAGAUGGUUAGAGUAAGUUCUUACAUUUGAUUUCUGUAAUGUGUUUAAAAUUAAUGAAAUUUUCAAAUUAUUGGUUUAUGAAAGAGACUUGCCUCAGCAGAGCAUUUUGAAGACGAAGUGCUAAUGAUUACAUGUGUGAAACCUGGCAAUGAAUGAAACUUGAGUGUAUGAGCAAUGCUGUGUCCAUGGAGAUAGUGGAAAGGUUUCCAGAGCACUGGGUGGGUUUCUGAAGAGUUUGUACCACGUGCUGGAUGGUUCUUGAGAUUAUCACUCCAAAACAUUGUUUUCUUGGCCAUAAUUUCAUGUGGAAAUGGCCUAGUAAUGGAGACUGCAAAUUCAAUGCAAUGCAGAGUCAUUAGUAUCAGAAUGGCUAUAGAUGUGGGAUUAUCGGAAGACUCCACAAUUGGCUGACUCUCCAGCAUUCUUUUGUACAAGUGCCCCAGGCCCAGAAGUCUGACCUUCAGCCAUGUGCAUCAAGAUUUUAAAAAAAAAUUAAUGCUGUUGUCAUGAGUUCAAUGACAAGAGGAGGCAGGAUGACCAGCAAGGUCAACGCUCAGACUUGUUUGAUUUUCCAGGUUCGUAGAGAUGGUUUUGGGAAUAGUACAGUGAGUCAAGUUAAGGUUUAGGGACAGGGAUGAGGGAGAGGUCGCAAAUGAAGAGACAGGACAGGAACUGGAGGUAGGGGGCAUAAGUACAAAGUUAAGGGAGGGAAGUUUAGGGGAGACAUUGGGUAAGUUCUUUACACAGAGGGUUGUGAGUGCCUGGAAUGACUUGUGAGAGAUGGUGGUGGAGGCUAAAACAUUAGGGGUAUUUAAGAGCCUCUUGGACAGGCACAUGGAUGAAAGAAAAAUGGAGGGUUAUGGGGUAGUGUGGGUUUAGAACUUUUUUUUAAGGAUUAUAUGGGUUGUCACAACAUGGAGGGCUGAAGAGUCUGUACUGUGCUGUAGUGUUCUGUGGUUCUAUGGAGUGCUGUCUGGUUGAGGACCAGCGAUCCCUGAGGACAGAGGUUGGAUUUGCAGGUGCUGAGGAUGAGGAUCAGGGAUCCCCAUGGCCAAGGAUGUCAGCAGGCCCUGAGCUCAAGGCCUCCAACACCCACCCCUCCUGGUCAGCUGGUCCUGAGAUUGGAAUGAAGUGUGUUUCUGGAGGUCGAGGCUCAGAGGUCUAAAUCCUAUUAUCGUUGAAUCCUGGUGUCGGUAACCAGACAUUGGCAGGCCUGAAGACCAGAGUUGGUGAGCCCACAGGGUUGAGGCCUGAGGAUUGAUGUCUGCGAGGCUGGGGUCAUGGAGGCAGGGUGGUGGUGGGGUGGGUGGGGUGUGUGUGUGUGUGUGUAAAGAAGGCUUGCAUUGCUGUUGCUUGUGUUGACAAGGUGGACACGCUGUCCCACGCCAUAUGUGUCAUGAAUAAAUAAGUCUGAAUCCUUUCUUUCUUUUUCAAUCUUUUUAUUGAAUUUCAUAUAUAAAAAAAACAUAACAUAAUAAUGAAUAGGUUAUAAGUGCAAUAGACUUGAAAUUAAUUAAUAAUAAGAUAACAAUAUCCUAUUAAAAUAUCAAACAAAAAAUGGUACAUUAAUCAAUCAAGCCUAUAAUAAUUAUAUAUGAAAAAAAAGUAAAAAUAAUCAUCAAAAGAAAAAAAAAAUUUAAAAUACAAGAAAAAAAUAUAUAUUGGGGAAAAAAAACACUAAACGAAACUAACAUGGGCAAUAAUAACAGUUUAUAUGUAUAUGAUAGUGUCAAAAACUCCAGAACUCCAUACCAGAACAAGAAUAAACAGAGAGAAGGUCUGGAAGAGGCCAGAUUAAUUCAUAUGAAAAUGUCGAAUGAACAGUCCCCAAGUUUCUUCAAAUUUAAUUGAUGAGUCAAAAAUAGUGCUUCUAAUUUUUUCCAAGCUCAGAUAAGAAAUAGUUUGAGAAAACCACUGAAACGUGGUAGGAGGAUUUACUUCUUUCCAAUUUUGUAAUAUAGACCUUCUGGCCAUUAAUGUUACAAAGGCAAUCAUUCGUCUAAUUGAAGGAGAAAACUGAUUACCAUCCUCAUUUGGUAUACCAAAAAUUGCAGUAAUAAAAUGAGGUUGUAAAUCAAUAUUCCAAAUUGAGGAAAUGGUAGCAAAUAUGUCCUUCCAAUAGUUAUAUAAGGUGGGACAUGACCAAAACAUGUGGGUCAAUGAAGCCACAUCUGAAUGACAUCUGUCACAUUGAGGGUUAAUAUGAGAAUAAAAUCAAGCAAGCUUAUCUUUAGACAUAUGAGCUCUACAAUUUUAAAUUGUAUUAAAGCAUGUUUAGCACAUAUAGAAGAAGAAUUAACCAUUUGUAAAAUUUUUUCCCAUUUUUCUGUUGAUAUAUUAUAUUGAAGUUCUUUUUCCCAUUCUUGUUUAAUUCUAUCUGAUAUUUCUGGUUGUAUCUUCAUAAUCAUAUUAUAAAUAAAAGCCACUAAUCCCUUCUGACAUGGAUUUAAGGUAAAAAUCAAAUCUGAAAAAUCUAUUGAAGUUGAAUUGGGGAAGGAUGGUAGAAUUUUAUGUAAAAAAAUUUCUGAUUUGUAGAUAUCUAAAAAAAUUAGAUUUAGGUAACUUAAAUUUGUUGGAAAGUUGGUCAAAAGACAUCAAACUACCUUCAAAAAAAAGAUCACGAAAACAUUUUUAUACCUUUCCUUUUCCAUAUGCUAAAAGCUUGAUCUGUCAAAGAAGGUUUGAAAAAAAAAUUAAGUAAAAUAGGGCUAUCAAGAACAAAGUUUUUCAGAGUAAAAAACUUACGAAAUUGAAACCAAAUUCGUAAUGUAUGUCUGACAACAGGGUUGGAUAUCUGUUUAUUGAAUUUAACUAAGUCAGCAGGAAGAGAAGAACCAAGAACGGAGGAUAAAGGGUAUCCCUGUGCAUCAUUGCAUUCUAAAUUUACCCACUGUGGGCACAAUGGUGAAUCCAAAUCUAAUUUCCAAUAUAUUAAGUUACGAAUAUUAUUCACCCAAUAGUAAAAUCUAAAGUUAGGUAAAGCUAAACCACCAUCUUUUUUAGAUUUUUGUAAUUGCCUUUUACUUAACCUGGGGUUUUUAUUUUGCCACACAAAUGAGGAAAUUUUUGAAUCAAUGUUACCAAAAAAAGAUUUAGGAAUAAAAAUUGGUAAGGCUUGAAAUAAAUAUAAAAAUUUUGGUAAAAUCAUCAUUUUAAUAGCAUUAAUCAGACCAACUAAUGAUAAGGAUAAAGGAGACCAUCUUGUAGUAAGUUGUUGAAUUUGAUGAAGCAUAGGUAAAAAAUUCAGUCUAAAUAAAUCUUUAUAUUUCUUGGUAAUUUUUAUACCCAAAUAGAUAAAGUUAUCAGUAACAACUUUAAAUGGUAUCCUGUCAUUCAAUAAAGUUUGCGCGUUUAAAGUGAAUAAAUCACUCUUAUCCAAGUUUAGUUUAUAACCAGAAAAACUACCAAAUUGAGCCAACAAGGAUAAAAUAGCGGGAAUAGACCUGUCAGGAUCAGAAAUAUAUAACAAGAAGUCAUCAGCAUAAAGUGAUAACUUGUAUAACUUCUCAUUACGGGUAAUACCAAAAAUAUUAAGAGAUUCACGAAUAGCAAUGGCUAAAGGUUCUAAUGCGAUAUUAAAUAAUAAAGGACUUAAGGGACAACCUUGUCUCAUACCACAAGAUAAUUGAAAAAAAGAGGAUCUGUAAUUAUUUGUAAGAACAGAAGCAACAGGUUUAUAAUAUAUUAGUUUUAAUCCAUGAUAUAAAAUUAGGACUAAAAUUAAGAUAUCUCAAGGCAUUAAAUAAGUAUGUCCAUUCAACUCUAUCAAAAGCUUUUUCAGCAUCUAAUGAAAUAACACAUUCUGGGGUUGUGGGUGAUGAAGUAUAAAUUAUAUUAAUCAAUUUUCUAAAAAAUUUAAAAAAGGAAUACCGAUUCCUAAUAAAACCAGUUUGGUCUUCUGAAAUAAUCUGUGAUAGUACCUUUUCUAACCUAAUAGCUAAAAUUUUUGUAAGAAUCUUAGAGUCUACAUUUAAUAGCGAUAUAGGGCAUUAAGAUGCACAUAAAGUAGGAUCCUUAUCUUUUUUAAGAAUUAGAGAGAUAGUAGCUUCAUAAAAAGACUGAGGUAAUCUCUCCUUAGCAAAUGCAUCAUUAAAGAUUUCACAUAACCAAGGGGAAAGCAAAGAAGAAAAAGUUUUAAAAAAUUCUAUAAUAUAACCACCAGGACCAGGAGCUUUCCCUGAAUUCAUUGAUGAGAUAGCCUCUCCUAUUUCGGCCAUAGACAUAGGAGCAUUGAACAAGCUACGAUCUUCAUCUGUCAGUUUGGGAAUAUUCAAAUUGUUAAAAAAAUUAUCCAUCAUGGACAGAUCGCCAUCAAAUUCUGAUUGAUAUAAAGAUUUAUAAAAAUCUUGAAAAGUGUUAUUGAUUUCUUUAUGAUCAGUAGUCAGAUUACCGUCUUGUUUACGAAUUUUAAUAAUUUGUCGCUUAGUCGAAAUAGCUUUUAAAUGGUUAGCUAACAAUUUACCAGUUCGAUCACUAUGGAUAUAAAAUUGAGCUGUGGUCCUAAUUAAUUGAUUCUCAAUUGAAGAAGAUAAUAAUAAGCUAUGCUCCAUUUGAAGCUCAACUCUCCUCUUAUAAAGUUCUUUGGUAGGAAUCACAGAAUAAAUCUUAUCAAUUUCUUUAAUUUUAUCCACUAAUAAAGCAAUAUCUAAAUAUCUUUGUUUUCUUUUACCAACGGAAUAUGAGAUAAUUUGUCCACGGAUAAAAGCCUUAAAAGAGUCCCAAAGUAUUCCUCUGUUUCUCAACAAAAUAUAGUUUGUUGAGAAAAACAAGUCAAUUUGCUGUUUUAUGUAGGUGAUAAAUUCUGGAUCUUGAAGCAAAGUAGCAUUAAGUCUCCAAGAUCUAGUAUUAUUGGAAAAGUCCGAAAUCUUGAUAGAUAACUUCAAAGGUGCAUGAUCCGAAAUGGCAAUAGAAUCAUAUUUACAAUCAGUAACAUCUGUUAAUAAAUGAUGAUCAAUAAGGAAAUAAUCAAUUCUAGAAUAACUGUGAUAUAAAUGUGAAAAAAAUGAAAAUUCUUUAUCUUUAGGGUUCAAAAACCGCCAUAUUUCAGUAAUUCCCAAAUCAACUAUAAAGGAAUUAAUAAGUAAGGCUGAUCUAUUCGGAAGAAUUUGGAUAGGUUUAGAUCUAUCCAUCAAAGGAUUUAGACAACAAUUGAAAUCUCCACCCAUUAUCAACAUAUAUUCAUUUAGAUUAGGAAGGGAAGUAAAUAAACGUUUAAAAAAUUCAGGGCAGUCAAAGUUUGGAGCAUAAAUAUUAACUAGAACCACUUUUCGAUUAAAAAGUGAACCAGUUAUCAACAAAAAUCUGCCCCUGUGGAUCAGAAAUAAUUUCAUGAUGUGUAAAUGAAAUUGAGGGGUCUAUAAAAAUAGACACACCCCUAAUUUUGGCAGUACAAUUCGAGUGAAAUUGUUGACCCUUCCAGAACUGAAAAAAGCGUUGAUUAUCCUCCCUCCUAAUAUGGGUCUCCUGUGCAAAAAUAAUAUUAGCAUUUAGUCCAUGGAAUACUUUAAAUAUUUUUUUACGUUUAAUCGGAUGAUUUAAACCAUUAGUAUUCCAAGAGAUAAAAUUAAUAGACUUAUCCAUCAUGCCAAUAUUAAUUGUAUAUAUCAUAAAAGGUUAAAAAGACACAUAACCCAUAAUUCAGGAAGAAGGAAAAAUGAUUCAGGAGCAACCAGAGAACAUAACACCUCAACAAUAUUAAUAAUUUAAAGUCGGCCCAUAAACUAAAAGCAAAAAAAUAAAAAGCAAAAGCGUGAAAAAAGAUCCCUACCCCCUCCCCCAACCCCACGAAAAAAAGCCAAGCGGCAGGCGCACAAACUAAUACUAAUAUUACUCCCAUUUCAAGAUGGCAACU